AAGAAUGAAUUGGGUGCAUCUAAACUAGAGUAGAAAGUUCGGGUGGCCUCUAAUUGAUCACAUCUCUACUUUUGGUAUGGUCUGUUUGGCUCUUUAAAGGCUGCUGUUUUUUCAUGUAUCCGAAGGCUACUUGAUGCUUUUGUGCUAGAAAUGCGUCGACGUGAAGAUGUGAAUAUUUGGGUAGACCUGCUUGAAUAGCUUCAGGUUUGAAGUAUUAUGGAAAUUGGUUUAAGUUUUUCCUUCCCUUCUUUUCUUGAUAUUAAACAAUUAUCCCCGGUUGAGUGAACUGAUAUAUUGUGAUUGGUGGAACUCCUUUUUGAUUUGCAGUUAAUAUUUAUCUGUUUGUGAUUCUUCUAUUUGUUAUUUUGCGUAUAUGUUUUUGCUUAAAUGACGUAAUCAGUUUUUUGAUAAGUAUAGUUCUCGGGCUAUAUCUAUUCUAUGGGUUUGUCCUUGAGCUACCUGCAACAGUUAGUCGUGUGUGAAGAUAUUGCUCAGAAGCAACUCAUGGAGGAUGACUUCUGCAUGAACAGUCAGGCGUCCAACAGGUAUUGAUAUCUCUAGUCAACUCGGUUGUCGAGGAUCAGAGCUUGUAGUAAAUGAUUGUGGACCUGAAGUUUUUGGAUGGGUUUUUAAUCCAUGACGGUGUCAGAUGAUCUUAUUAUUAUUAUGUUUUAAUUUUUAAGGUUAAUUAUUUUUCUCUCUUUAUCUUUA